GCUGGUUUAGCUCAGUAGGUAGAGCAAUUGAUUCGUAAUCAAUGGGUCGGGAGUUCGAUUCUUCUAACCAGCA
rnacentral:tRNA from 1 species